UACACCCACUAUCCGCCCGGGAACUACGAGCAAAAGCUUAAAACCCAAAGGACUUGGCGGUGCUUUAGAUCCACCUAGAGGAGCCUGUUCUAGAACCGAUAACCCCCGUUCAACCUCACCUUUCCUUGUUUUUCCCGCCUAUAUACCGCCGUCGUCAGCUUACCCUCUGAAGGUCUAAUAGUAAGCAAGACUGGUACAACCUAAAACGUCAGGUCGAGGUGUAGCGUAUGGAAGGGGAAGAAAUGGGCUACAUUCGCUACUACAGCGAAUACGGAGGGUGUACUGAAACGUACACCUGAAGGAGGAUUUAGCAGUAAGCAGGAAAUAGAGCGUCCCGCUGAAAUCGGCCCUGAAGCGCGCACACACCGCCCGUCACUCUCCCCGAAAACACCCACUCAGUUAAUUAAAACCUAAUAAUCAUAGAGGGGAGGCAAGUCGUAACAUGGUAAGUGUACCGGAAGGUGCACUUGGAAAAAU
rnacentral:rRNA from 1 species